rnacentral:rRNA from 1 species
UGGGGAAUAUUGGACAAUGGGCGCAAGCCUGAUCCAGCCAUGCCGCGUGAGUGACGAAGGCCUUAGGGUUGUAAAGCUCUUUUGGCGGGGACGAUAAUGACGGUACCCGCAGAAUAAGCUCCGGCUAACUUCGUGCCAGCAGCCGCGGUAAUACGAAGGGAGCUAGCGUUGUUCGGAAUCACUGGGCGUAAAGCGCACGUAGGCGGGUUUGUCAGUCAGGGGUGAAAUCCCGGAGCUCAACUCCGGAACUGCCCUUGAUACAGCAAGCCUUGAGUCCGGAAGAGGUAGGUGGAAUUCCUAGUGUAGAGGUGAAAUUCGUAGAUAUUAGGAAGAACACCAGUGGCGAAGGCGGCCUACUGGUCCGGCACUGACGCUGAGGUGCGAAAGCGUGGGGAGCAAACAG